rnacentral:rRNA from 1 species
GAUGAACGCUGGCGGCGUGCCUAAUACAUGCAAGUCGAGCGAACAGACGAGGAGCUUGCUCCUCUGACGUUAUCGGCGGACGGGUGAGUAACACGUGGAUAACCUACCUAUAAGACUGGGAUAACUUCGGGAAACCGGAGCUAAUACCGGAUAAUAUAUUGAACCGCAUGGUUCAAUAUUGAAAGACGGUUUUGCUGUCACUUAUAGAUGGAUCCGCGCCGCAUUAGCUAGUUGGUAAGGUAACGGCUUACCAAGGCAACGAUGCGUAGCCGACCUGAGAGGGUGAUCGGACACACUGGAACUGAGACACGGUCCAGACUCCUACGGGAGGCAGCAGUAGGGAAUCUUCCGCAAUGGGCGAAAGCCUGACGGAGCAAAGCCGCGUGAGUGAUGAAGGUCUUCGGAUCGUAAAACUCUGUUAUUAGGGAAGAACAAAUGUGUAAGUAACUAUGCACGUCUUGACGGUACCUAAUCAGAAAGCCACGGCUAACUACGUG